GAAGAGGAGGAGGAAGAGGAGGAGGAAGAGGAGGAGGAUGAUGCACGCGGAAGAGAGAGAGACGGUGGCGAUGUCGCCAUGAUGGCUGGGUUCCCGUGGGUCACAAUGAGAUAACGCAACAACAACAACAACAACCGUGGGUCACAAUGAGAUAAAGCAACAACAACAACAACAACCGUGGGUCACGAUGAGAUAAAGCAACAACAACAACAACAACAACCGUGGGUUACAAUGAGAUAAUGCAACAACAACAACAACCGUGGGUUACAAUGAGAUAAUGCAACAACAACAACAACCGUGGGUUACAAUGAGAUAAUGCAACAACAACAACAACAACCGUGGGUCACAAUGAGAUAAUGCAACAACAACAACAACCGUGGGUCACAAUGAGAUAAUGCAACAACAACAACAACCGUGGGUCACAAUAAGAUAAUGCAACAACAACAACAACCGUGGGUCACAAUGAGAUAAAGCAACAACAACAACAAGAACCGUCGGUCACAAGGAGAUAACAGCAGCAACAACAACGGUGGGUCACAAGGAGGUAACAACAACAACAUCCGUGGAUCACAUUGAGAUAACGCAACAACAACAACAACCCAACAGGAGUUAAAGUGAAAACAAAAUAGAUUUGGUGGAAAGAUAUUUUUUCAAAAACCACACCAACAAAGAAUCCUCCUUUGCAGCGCAACCUGCUCGCUUCUCUCUCACCCCCCCCCCCUCCUGCUCCUCGCGAAUUCACGGCAGCCUCUAUCGCCGGAGCGGAGCGAACAAAGCUGGGGAUGGUGGUGGGACCACGUGAGCAGCCGGCCGCCCGCUGCUUCGCUCGUCUCGAAGAUUUCGCUCGCUCGCGAUGCUGUUCAAGACUGAUGGAGAGAGGUCGGGGAAGUGGCGGCGGUGGGUUGUGGGAUGGGGUUUUGGCGGUGGGUGGUGGGUGGUUGGUGGUAAAGAGGCGUGAAAACGAAGGCACACGAAUGGAAAAAAAAACGUUCUCCAGCUCGAACUUGCAACGCCGGAUUUUUGUUACAUUUUCUGCGUUCCGUUUGAGGCGACAACCGAUGGAAAGUUCUUUUGGAGAGAGAGAGAGAGAGAAAUUAAAGGGUUUACUGCAGAGCAGCGCGCGCUGGGCCGUCAACAAAAGGCAAACAUUUGUUACUGAUAUAGAGCAACCGCAUUGCAUUGGGGUGGUGGUGGCGGUGGUGGAGUUUUGGGCGCGAAGCUUCUAAUGUGGAGGAAGAUGCUUGAGUCAAAGGAUGUUUGUCAACAAGGGGGAUAUUGAAACAAAUAUAUGAUUAUUACACGAUUAAAGGGGUAAGAGAUCAACAGAGCCAGAGGGACACUCUAUAUCCCAGUGUAAACAGCAUCCGUUUACAUCACCCUGCCUGAAACUCGUGAUGUCGUCUGUGACCUCAUUUUAAAAAGGUAUUGAGUCGAAAUUCGUUUCCGUUGCUUCCUCGAGGUACCCGAUUGUCAAAAAUGCCAGUUCCUUUAAAGUCGCGAUCCGCUCACCAGAUUGUUCCAAGUUUCUCCAAUUUAAACGGGACAUAAACGGGGGGGGGGUGGGGCGGUCCUGGCUUGCGCGUGCGAGAAAGCGAGACGAAAAAAAGAGAGAAAGACCGGCUAAUGUGGAAAUCUGGACUGGAUUAAGGACUCUGGACUGGAUUAGGAUUCAAAUCUGGACUGGUAUCUAAUGUAGAAAUCUGGACUGGAUUAAGGACUCUGGACUGGAUUCGGAUUAAAAUCUGGACUGGAUUCGGGACUUUGGACUGGAUUCGGAUUCAAAUCUGGACUGAAAUCUAAUGUGGAAAUCUGGACUGGAUGUAGGACUCUGGACUGGAUUCGGAUUACAAUCUGGACUAGAAUCUAAUGUGGAAAUCUGGACUGGAUUCGGAUUCAAAUCUGGACUGAAAUCUAAUGUAAAAAUCUGGACUGGAUUCAAAACUCUGGACUGGAGCCUUAUUCAAAUCUGGACGUAAAUACAAUGUGGAAAUCAGGACUGGAUUCAGAACUCCGGACUGGGAUCAGAUUCAAAUCUGGACUGAAAUCUAAUGUGGAAAUCUGGACUAGAUUCAGAACUGAUGGUGGGGCUGGAAUUUUGAAAACCACCGAACUCCAAAGCAUUUCUACGUGACUGCAAAAUGAAAAUGACAAAAAAAACUAACCCCCCCCCCCCCCAUCCAUGAUGAAAUUCCUGCUUGCAUUGCCUGUUUAAACCAUCCUCGUUAAUGUUUUCUAGAUGUUUAAUUGGAACUGAGAUCUGCUGUACAGUCUGUUUCUGGUCAAAGUUUGCGUUGUACCCAAUUGCUGGCAAAUGCUUCUUCGUGCUGUGCUGUAAGACAUUUCACAGAAUAGAGAGUGGUGGUUUUUGUCACUGUUUUAUUGCGGGCUGCCAAAUGGAAUGAACAUUUUUAUAAAUACCACUUGAAAUAAAAAUGAUUAUGUUGAAGCUG